UAGUCCACGCCCUAAACGAUGUACACUAGUUGUUGUGAGGCUAGACCUUGCAGUAAUGCAGUUAACACAUUAAGUGUACCGCCUGGGGAGUACGGUCGCAAGAUUAAAACUCAAAGGAAUAGACGGGGACCCGCACAAGCGGUGGAGCAUGUGGUUUAAUUCGACGAUACGCGAAGAACCUUACCUGGACUUGACAUAGAUAGAACUUUCAAGAGAUUGAUUGGUGUCUGCUUGCAGAAACUAUUAUACAGGUGCUGCACGGCUGUCGUCAGCUCGUGUCGUGAGAUGUUGGGUUAAGUCCCGCAACGAGCGCAACCCUCGUCGUUAGUUGCUAACAGUUCGGCUGAGAACUCUAACGNGACUGCCUAGCAAGUAGGAGGAAGGUGAGGACGACGUCAAGUCAUCAUGGCCCUUACGUCCAGGGGCUACACACGUGCUACAAUGGGGUAUACAAGAGCAGCAAUACGGGUGACGUGGGAGC
rnacentral:rRNA from 1 species